rnacentral:rRNA from 1 species
GCUGAGUAGCUAUGUACGGACAGGAUAAACGCUGAAAGCAUCUAAGCGUGAAACCUUCCUCAAGAUGAGUUUACUUUUAAGGGCCGUCAAAGACUAUGACGUUGAUAGGCUACAGGUGUAAAGGUGGUAACAUCAAAGCCGAGUAGUACUAAUUGCCCGUAUGCUUUAAUUUUUUU